UACGUAGGGUGCUAGCGUUGCUCGGAAUCACUGGGCGUAAAGCGCACGUAGGCGGACUCUUAAGUCAGGGGUGAAAUCCUGGAGCUCAACUCCAGAACUGCCUUUGAUACUGAAGAUCUUGAGUUCGGGAGAGGUGAGUGGAACUGCGAGUGUAGAGGUGAAAUUCGUAGAUAUUCGCAAGAACACCAGUGGCGAAGGCGGCUCACUGGCCCGAUACUGACGCUGAGGCACGAAAGCGUGGGGAGCAAACAGG
rnacentral:rRNA from 1 species